AUUGAACGCUGGCGGCAUGCUUUACACAUGCGAGUCGAACGGUAACAGGCCGCAAGGUGCUGACGAGUGGCGAACGGGUGAGUAAUGCAUCGGAACGUGCCCAGUCGUGGGGGAUAACGCAGCGAAAGCUGCGCUAAUACCGCAUACGAUCUAUGGAUGAAAGCGGGGGACCGUAAGGCCUCGCGCGAUUGGAGCGGCCGAUGUCAGAUUAGGUAGUUGGUGGGGUAAAGGCUCACCAAGCCAACGAUCUGUAGCUGGUCUGAGAGGACGACCAGCCACACUGGGACUGAGACACGGCCCAGACUCCUCCGGGAGGCAGAAGUGGGGAAUUUUGGACAAUGGGCGCAAGCCUGAUCCAGCAAUGCCGCGUGCAGGAAGAAGGCCUUCGGGUUGUAAACUGCUUUUGUACGGAACGAAACGGUCCUGGUUAAUACCCGGGGCUAAUGACGGUACCGUAAGAAUAAGCACCGGCUAACUACGUGCCAGCCGCCGCCGUAAAAC
rnacentral:rRNA from 1 species